rnacentral:rRNA from 1 species
AUACGGAGGGUGCAAGCGUUGUUCGGAAUCACUGGGCGUAAAGGGCGCGCAGGCGGUUUGGUAAGUCAGAUGUGAAAGCCCACGGCUCAACCGUGGAAGUGCAUUUGAAACUGUCAGACUUGGGUACUAGAGGGGAAAGUGGAAUUCCCGGUGUAGAGGUGAAAUUCGUAGAUAUCGGGAGGAAUACCGGUGGCGAAGGCGACUUUCUGGCUAGAUACUGACGCUGAGGCGCGAAAGCGUGGGGAGCAAACAGGAUUAGAAACCCGGGUAGUCC